rnacentral:lncRNA from 1 species
AUGGAAGGCAGAAGUGAAGGUACCUUCCACACAUGGCAGCACAUUUCAUGUUGGGACAAGUCUUUAAAACAAAAGUGUUUUACUUUGAGGAGCUGCUCUACAGUGUUGGCCGAAUGUUCUGAUGUCCUCCUGAAGAUGUCUGGAAGACUUGUACAGUUCUUAAACAUGACAGAUCUUCAGCUGAGGUGCAUGCUGUGCUUCUUAGUUUUACAAGCUACUUCCAUAAAAAUCUUCUCCCCUGUUGGAUGGAUGGUUCAACUCCCAUGUAAACAUAAAUAUAAAUCCCUGGAGGGAAUCACGCAGCUUUCCCUACAGUGGAAAGGUCCAAGUAAUGAGCUUCUUUGCCACUUCAUCAAGCACAAGGCUUAUCAGAACUGCACUCCAGGAUACUCCAUGGACUACAAAGCAGGCAACAUCACUCUAACCAUUGCAGGGGUACAAAUGUCUGACUUUGGGACCCAUAUUUGCUCUGUAAGCAAACGUCAUGAGUUUUCAGACUUCACCGUAGAGCUUCUCCUGAAGAUGGAAUCAACCAAAACACCAACAAAGAUGUCAACAGUGCACAGCGGCUCUCCUGCAGGUUGCCUUUCUUUCAUUCUCUGGUCUGCUCUGUUCCUGACUCUGUGUGGAUGACGAAAG